rnacentral:lncRNA from 7 species
CCCAUCAAGAUUUUGGAUACUUUGACUCGAGUUACGAGGAAUAAAGUUAUUAAGAUGUGCAAAGUGCAAUGGAGCCACCACGGUGAAGAUGAAGCAACUUGGGAAAGAGAAGAAGAGCUUCGUAUAGACUUCCCCCAUCUUUUCCCUAGAUCUUCUUAAAUCUCGAGGACGAGAUUAUUUUUAAGGGGGGUAGGCUUUGUAAUACCCAAAAAUGUAAGAUGAAAGCAUAGUUGAGAUACAUACAUGAUUUUUGCCUAUGUUUAUUGUAACAUGUGAACCAACACCUCAAAAGUCAUUAAUUAAUUAGUGACACUUAAAGUAAUUUGUGCAUCAUGCUGUGAUUUCUUUGUUUGUGCAUUCACUCAUAAAGAUAAUGAUAAAAUAAAUAUGCAAAUGGUAAAAAAACAAUAAAAUAUAAUUAUGUUAAUGUUGUGAAUUGGGACUUAAUUUACAAUUCUAGAAAUUUGAGAAGUAAAGGAAAACUACUAUACAAAAUAAAACAAAAUGUGGGAUAAAUGAAACCUUGUCAUGAUGGUUUGACCAAACUACACAAUUAAAAUGGGUUCAAAUUCCCAAAUAGGUUUGAAUUCAAAUUUGGAUUUAAAGGAAUUAAGGAUAAAAGAAAACAGAAAAUAAAAU